CCCUGCCACCUGGCGGAGCCCUGGCCGGGCUGCUCACCGCGCGUCCAGUCUGGUGCUUCUCCUGUCCUCCCCGGCAGGGCAGGCCUAGCUGCUCCUCCACUGAGGUUGGCUCUGGAUAGAGCCACCCCCGAGCCUGGACGCACAGGAAUGGUUUUUGUUUCUUUAAUGAGAGAGACAGUGUUGACGCGAGCUGGGUGAAUGGCGAGUCACGAAACUUCCGGAGCCUCGCAUUUGGGACACUGCAUCCUUCCUACCGAUGGGAGCCGCCUUGUCUUCUGAUAGUACUGGGAAGGCGUCGCAUGCAGGCGGAUUUUGUCUUCCAGGAUUAUAAUGGCUCCCACCUCAUCACUCUCCCUGGUACGCCAGCUUGUUGCUAGGUUACCUAAGGCUGCAGAGGCCCAGUCUUGGGAUGUGCCACAGUUUGUCUUGCCUCAUCCUGAGUUGCAAGAGGGAAGAAUGUACACCUCAACCAAACAGGGCUCUAGCAGAGAUCAAGAACACUCAUAAAUAUACCUCCAGAAAAUUUCAAAAACCAAAGUUUACAGGUGGAUGAAGAAUCACAAAAGGAACCCACCCAUGUAACCCUCAGACCUGGAGGAAGAGGGCCGCACCAAGAAUGUCAUCUUUGCUGCUUUAGGAUAUAUGGUUUAUGUUUCUUAUAUGGUAACUUGGUGAAGUGAAAGAACAAAAAAAAAAGUGGAAAAUACCACUAGACUUAUCUUUAAUUUAAUUGGCAAUUAAGGCGAGUGUGUGUAUUCCAUAAGAGCAGCCAUUCUGGUUCUGAAGCAAAGAGCUUUUUUCAAAUGAGUUAAGCCUGAGAUCCUCUAUCUCUAUAAAGAUCUACUUCACUCUGGUAUUGUUGACAACAUUUCUCAUUAUUUCCCCUUGCUCAUAUGGUUAGGUAGAUAGAAAGGGAUCUCUGGCUAGCCUAGGGGCAAAGGCAGGUGCAUCACCUUGAUGCUACCUUGAGCAAUUGCCACACCUGGGGAAAAAGGAAAGGGCAGGCACCCCACCUUGGUGCUGCCUUACCUUGAUCUUGCCCCAAGUAACAGCCACACCUGGGGGAAGUAGGAAGACCUGACCAAUGUGCAAAAGAUGUAGGGAAUUCUUCAGGUACAAUAGGAUCUGGAAAGUGACCUAGAGUAACCUAAGGCUAAUUAUCAUUCUAUUAACUGUCCAUUAGACUGGUUCCAUAGUGAUAUCUGGACCACGAGGAGGGCUCAAUGUGGACAUUAUAAAACGGGACCCCAGACUAUAGCCAGAGCUUCUUGUCACAACAGGGGGCCCAUUUGUCGUUUGUGGUGAACAUAUCUUGCUCUUGCUCUAUAAA